CCCGAGCCCCAGCCCGGAGCCGCCGGGGGCCGAGCUGGACCGGGGGCUGGGGCCAGGGGCCGGGGAAACGACGCCCGGCGGCCGUGGCAGAGGCACCUGAGAAAAACAAGAACAUUUCAGUUCUCCAGAACAGGAGAGCACUGAGGCACCAGGUGAUUCACUGCCAUGACUUCAGCUAGGACCGGGACUUCAGACAUCAGGCCUGACCAAAAACCAAAUGCACGGUCCAUGAGCAGCAUGACCUCUUGGGAUGAGGCAAAAGAACUAGUACCAUGUGCAAGUUGAAUCAGGCCCCCAGGGACCUGAACAGCAGGUAUUCCACUGACCCAGAUGUUUGAGCUGACCUUCCUAUUGGCUCAACCCCAUCUUCUCUGGUGUUUGAGAGAGAGCAGACUGAAGCCAUUUGCCAUCACAGAACCUUGGAGGCUGAAAGCCCAAGUCAACUAGUACCAUCCUCAUGCUCACCCUGCCCCCCCCCUUCCCCAAGGAGGAACUGGUAUCAGUUGGAGACCCAGACUGAUUUGGAGAAUCAGAGACAUGGAAGGGGAGAAGGAGCCACUUUCUGGAGAUGGAGAUGUAAAGGGGAAGACCAGCACAGCGGAGGACACAAAGUGCAAGAGUACUCCUGUAUGGUGAGGAUUGAUAUCACUGUGAGCCAUGUGGCCCUAAGGGAAGGUAGAACCUACCUGAGGGUAUUGGCUGAACCGCAGAGCACCCUGCCCCUUACUCCAGCUGAAGUCAGUGUAAGGGCCAGGUUGGCAAAGCUGAGAGCUCUCCUGACUCUUUAUGGGCUCACAAGUAAGUCCUUUGCAUUUGUGUUAAAUAAAGCCUAUUCUACAUUCAA